rnacentral:misc_RNA from 1 species
AGAAAUGUAUGUUUACAAUAUGUUUAGGCUGUGCACAAACAGGCCCAACGUAAUCAGGCCAAAAACUCGCAGUACGCCAGACAAAAACCUGUCAACAAAUCUACAAAUAUUCAGACAAACAAGAUUACUUCCAAUCAAUCCAACGGAAACGGCGGAAAGGAGGCUGGUCGGAUUCCAGAGGAUAUGCUCUUUCCGAUGACGGACGAGUUUUCUUUGCGGCGGGGAGAAUCAGAUACUUUUAGUAAUAAUAGUCCGGCUGCUAAGCUUAGUCCGGAUAGUGGUUACAUCUCUAGUCGCGGGGUCGGUAUGGACAGCUCGCCAAGCUUUUCUCUUCCUGAAUCCUACAAUGGAGAAAAAUCCCCAGGAAUGAGCACCAUAUCGAUGCUCCAGACGUCUUCAAGCGACUUAUGCAUGACCUCUAUAUCUCCGAGCAUAACCUCAACAAUAACCUCCAGAAGCUCUCUCAACCUCACACAAUCAUCCAGAGAGACGGAGGAUGACCGAAUGACUGAUUUGCAGAAAGAGCUUGGAUUUGUGGAACCUACAUUCCCUAGAAGUAUGGUCGGAGUUAGCGGAGAUAGUGUAACCGGAGUAGCAAAGGAUGGAUUAGAGCCAGGCAUUAGAUUGAACCAAGGUUUAAGGAUAGAGGGACAACACAACCCACUUGGCAGGGUUGGAGGGUUGGGAUUACCGGGUCCUGUUAUUCCUCGACUUGGACCGGGUCGACCAUCUAAUCAAUUGGAAGAUUUUGUCAGUUCUCCCUCUUCGUACAACACUUAUUCAAGAUCGACCCUGGGUGUCAAAUCCGUGACGAAUGCUCCAGUCAGUCAUGCUGGGUUUCCGCCUCGGUUAAAUCCUCCACCUUUGCCGAUGAUUGGACAGGGCGGAGUGUUAGCUGGAAGGGUCCCGGCUCCUAUAUCUAGACCGCCUACUACAAUACAAUACACGGGGCGCGUAUCCGUUCCUUCAAGCUUUCCGCCUAAUCUAGACGUAUCCGUCCUUUCACCUUCACAGGGCAUUGAAUCACGUCCUAUCUCCCUGAUAUCUCGAGUUCCGUCCAAGUCUCCUAAACCAUCCUUUGCAGUCCCUGAGGUAUCGGGAUCUCUCCGUAUACCCCCGUCACAAGGAUCUUCUAGUUUCACUAGUUCUAGAAUACCAACCUCGUCCUUUGGAUUAACCUCAGCCCUCUCUAGUCACAACAGUAUAGUGAAACCUAUCAGCAGUCUAGGUAUGGGUUCUACCGGUUCCUCUAGACCUGAGAAUAGUUUGCAAACUGGCGGAUUUUCUAAUGAAAACCGACCUAAAAUGGACGUUCUGGCGCAGACAUUAAAACUGUCGGAUCUAGAUUUUGACGAAUUCGAGCCGGAACCGACACUCAUUCCUGGCAACCAGACACAGGAGUUGAAACUAGAGGACCUAAAGCAUCUACAAAGUGAACCUCCUGUUCCGUUGACAGUAAGAAACUCAGUGAAGGGAGGUGGCGAGGAGCUUAGAGAUUUAUUGGAGUUUUCUACAUUCUCUUACCAGGAUGUGAAUCAGAUUAUAGGAAGUGGUGGAGCUGGAGGUGGAGUUGAUAAUCUUGUCUUGUAUCAAUCUCAUGAGGCAGUUUAUACUCAGGUUGUGGCGGCGGGAGGUAACUUCACUAAACCACUAGAUUCCAUGGUGACCGUGAGUAGAGCCUCAGCUCCGUCCUUCUCCUUCUCUUCCGAGUUCUCUGAACCCGAGUCCGGGUUCUCUGUUCCUCCCGGAAUGGAUUUCUCCGAGCUUCAGACUUUCUCCAGCGGGAAAUCUGCCCCUGGAAAACAAUGGUGGCCAUAAUAUAUUAAGACAUUUUGUUUCAAAUAAGUUAUGCUUUCUGUUUUUGCGUCAAGAACCUUAAAAAUGUGUUAAAUAAUUGUAAAUUUUGCAUUGUCACAAAAAUUUAUCACAAAUAUUGCACCGUUGUUGAAUCCGAUAGUCCCAUAGAAAUAUACACUAGGACUUCACCACAUUUGUCACAUAUAUAAAGUUUUUCAUUUUUUAUUAGUUACAAAAAUUCUAUUAUUUGUUAGAAAUAACUCUAUGUUGGAUUUCAGA